UACAUAGGGAGCGAGCGUUAUCCGGAUUUAUUGGGCGUAAAGCGUGUGUAGGCGGUUUAUUAAGUAUGAAAUCAAAGCCUGGGGCUCAACUCCAGUUCGUUUCAUAAACUGAUAGGCUUGAGUAUGGUAGAGGCAAAUGGAAUUUCUAGUGUAGCGGUAAAAUGUGUAGAUAUUAGAAGGAACAUCAGUGGCGAAGGCGAUUUGCUGGGCCAUUACUGACGCUGAGACACGAAAGCGUGGGGAGCAAAUAGG
rnacentral:rRNA from 1 species